rnacentral:rRNA from 1 species
GACGAACGCUGGCGGCGUGCUUAACACAUGCAAGUCGAACGGAAAGGCCCUGCUUUUGUGGGGUGCUCGAGUUGCGAACGGGUGAGUAACACGUGAGUAACCUGCCCUUGACUUUGGGAUAACUUCAUGAAACUGGGGCUAAUACCGGAUAGGAGCUCCUGCUGCAUGGUGGGGGUUGGAAAGUUUCGGCGGUUGGGGAUGGACUCGCGGCUUAUGAGCUUGUUGGUGGGGUAGUGGCUUACCAUGGCUUUGACGGGUAGCCGGCCUGGGAGGGUGACCGGCCACAUUGGGACUGAGAUGCGGCCCAGACUCCUACGGUACGCAGCAGUGGGGAAUAUUGCACAAUGGGCGGAAGCCUGAUGCAGCAACGCCGCGUGCGGGAUGACGGCAUUCGGGUUGUAAACCGCUUUCGCCUGUGACGAAGCGUGAGUGACGGUAAUGGGUAAAGAAGCACCGGCUAACUACGUG